rnacentral:ncRNA from 1 species
AUAUUAUUUUAUUUUGGUUAAUAUUUUUAUUAUUAUUUUAUUUUACAUGUAAAUUUUUGUGUGAAUUUAUUUAAUUUUUAAAAAAUUAUUUAAUUAUUUUAUUCGCAGUGAUUAAUAUUAAUAUAAAAAAAAAGAAAUUUUGUGUUAGUAAUAAUAUAUAGUAUUGGUAAAAUUUGUGCCAGCUACCGCGGUUAUACAAAUAAUACAAAUAAAAAUUUUUAGUAUUAGUUAAAUUGAUCAAAUUUUAAUAUAAAUAUAGAUUUAUUAGGUGAAAUUUUUAAAUUUAUUUAUUAUUAAUUUAAAAAAUAAUUUAAGCUAUAAACUUUUUAUAAUAAACUAGGAUUAGAUACCCUAUUAUUAAAAAUAAAUAUGAGUUUACUAAAGUAGUAUUAGUUAUAUUCUUAAAAUUUAAAAAAUUUGGCGGUAUUUUAGUCUAUUCAGAGGAAUCUGUCCUGUAAUUGAUAGUCCACAUUGAACCUUACUUAAAUUUGUUUAAUUUGUAUAUCGCCGUCAUCAGAAUAUAUUAUAAGAUAAAAUUUUCUUAAUAUUUAAUAAAAUAAUAUGUCAGGUCAAGGUGCAGUUUAUGUUUAAGUAGAGAUGGAUUACAAUAAAUUUAUUUAAUAUGGAUAAUUUUUUGAAAUAAAAAUUUGAAAGUGGAUUUGAAAGUAAUAUAAAAUAGAUUAUUUAUAUGAUUUUAGCUCUAAAAUAUGCACAUAUCGCCCAUCGUUCUUAUUUUUAAAAUAAGAUAAGUUGUAACAUAGUAGAUGUACUGGAAAGUGUAUCUAGAAAGA